UCACAUUUCUAGCUUCCUUCAAUUCUGUACGAGUCAUAGUCGCCUUGAGACGUUAACUCCACCUCUCCCUUCACCGGUGUUGCCGGAUUUGGAUUUCAGCCAAUGCUGAACAAACAAAGCUCCCGGUGCAAAACCCCUUUCUCUCUGGAUGUUCAGGACUACCUUCCGCUAGGUCAGACAGCAUUUGUGAAGGAAAAAGCAGCCCAGCUUCAGUGGGCCGGAAGACGUUAGGAAAUUAACGGUUUAUCUGAAGUAUUUGGAAUAGGCUGUGAGCCUCAUCCUCUCCGACACGGUCCGUUUUGCUGAAGAUCCUCGACCUGAAACGUUAACUCUCUCCUCUCUUUGGACCGAGGCGUUCGGUAUCUUCAGAUUUUUUAUAUAUGUAUCCCGCAAUAUAGUUUAGGGAGUUACAGCCCCUACCGGCUCGCCGCCUUUAUUUAAUUGAUGAUUAAACCCCAAACACCGACCGAAACAGACAGAAUGGUCUCAUACUCACACUAACCUUUCCCCUCUGACAUCUGACCCACCGGAAAAGGAAGUGAAUCAGCGAUAGCAGGAACUGCCCGAUGCCGGAGGAUCUGAGCAUCAGGGAGGAGGGUCCAGGCCCGAAAAUGUCGGAACUGAAUCUGUGGGUCCAGGGCGGGAGCAAAAAUGAAGAUAUUCCCAACCAGUGGCCGCCCAAUUCAUUUUACUUAAAUUAUAUCCACAAAAAAUCUGAAGAAAAAAUGUUUUGCUUCCAAUGAAAGAUCAUCCAAAAUGUUGCCCAUUUUUUGCAGAACAGGCGCGCAUUUUAUUCUUCUGUUUCGGAUGUCAACAGUUGCGGUUUUUCGUCAUUUCUGUUAAUGUACGAGAUAAACUAUAAAAGAAUAGCA